AACGCACAUUGCGCCCCUCGUUACAGGGGGGCAUGCCUGUCUGAGUGUCCUUUUAAACCAUGGACGUUUUGUCUGUCUUGGGGGUCGCCUCGCCCGGCGUCCCCUCGAAGCGAUUGCCGUCGAGCGGAUGAGAUCCAUUGGGACCGGCCGCUUUGUCGAGGCUUCUCUAUCCGACGGACCUCAGAUCAGGUAGGACCACCGCCUGAACUUAA
rnacentral:misc_RNA from 1 species